GCACCUGCACGCAUGGGGAGUGGGGGUGCAGGCGCCUCCCCACCGUGUGGUUCGAAGCCUCUGGCUAGAGCAAGCUUGGAGAACGACUCUGAGCCCCGUCAGCGCUUUAGGUUUCAGCUCCAGGGCCCCGGGGCUCUGCCGCGCAAGCAGAUGGGCAGUGGAGGCCACAAGGAAGCAGUGGUGGGGUGUCCACUGCUCUCAGUCUCCCCCGUGAGGCCCGAGAGGGAGGAAAACAGCAGGCCAGAACAGCUGGAUCAUACAAGAGCAGCUUCAAAGCGAUAAGAAGCUGGCAGAUGAACCAAACAAGUAAAAGGGAAAAUCCUUACAAGGGAAAGUUGACUCCGAAGGACAGAUUGCAAAAGCCAGAGACGGGGCUGGCCCCACAGAGCAGCCGUGGACGUGCGGGUCCCUCGGACACUCUGAACCGCCGCGACCUGCUGCAGCCCUGAGAGGCGGGGCGGAGGGGGCCGGGGUGGGAGAGGGGCCCCGCAGCGCCCGUGGACUCCCGGGUAGACAAGGCUGCGGGGCCAGAGACACCCCACCAUUCCUUUUCAGUUCGUCUGCCACUUGCCCCUUGCUGUAGCCAGACCAGCUCCUUCCUGCUCCCCUGUACUGCACCGGGUCCUGGAUCAGGCCUCUGCAUGCACAGGGGACAGGGAGCUUCCCUGCACGGCAUCCUCCCACCUUAAGGCCAUGGAAGAUUCAGAAAGCCUGAAAAAAACUUGAGGGGAAGAGCCUUUCACAGACAACUUCCAUCGGUUUCCAGUCUCUGUGUUUCCAGAAAAUUCUAUUACCUGGCUCAAGAGUAAGUGAGCCAUCUGUUUCCUGAUGUCCGUAUACUGAUUACAGGAAGGCUGCAGAGGUUAA